AUUGAACGCUAGCGGGAUGCUUUACACAUGCAAGUCGAACGAGUGGCGGACGGGUGAGUAAUAUAUCGGAACGUGCCCAGUAGCGGGGGAUAACUACUCGAAAGAGUGGCUAAUACCGCAUACUUUUGGAGCGCCCAUUACCGGAUUAGCUAGUUGGUGGGGUAAAGCUUCACCAUGGCAACAAUCCGUAGCUGGUUUGAGAGGACGACCAGCCACACUGGGACUGAGAAACGGCCCAGACUCCUACGGGAGGCAGCAGUUGGGAAUUUUGGACAAUGGGGGAAACCCUGAUCCAGCCAUCCCGCGUGUAUGAGAAGGCCUUCGGGUUGUAAAGUACUUUUGGCAGAGAAGCGGUAUCUGAAGAAUAAGCACCGGCUAACUACGUGCCAGCCGCCGCGGUAAUAC
rnacentral:rRNA from 1 species